rnacentral:lncRNA from 1 species
AAUAAUACAAACAUGUCAUGAUCAUUAUCUAUCAAUGAAUGUUUACUUCAGACUCAUAUUGUUGAAUGUUUGUAUUAUUUGUACAGUUGAAUGUUUCUUUUGAUGUUGACUAAAACGGGGAGAAGGAUUGAUUGAGCAUAAGAAUAUAAAUUCUUUAAAUAUGAACUGGUGAAGAAAAAGUGAUUGAGCAUAAUUGAUUGAAACAAUAACUGACACAUCAAUUGAAUUGAGAUGUUAAUGAAGCUGAGAAUUUUUAAAAUUUUCUACCUACAUAAAUUUCACACAGUGCAUUUAUUGAGGGGGAG